rnacentral:tRNA from 1 species
UCCCUGGUGGCUCAAUGGUAAAGAAUCUGCCUGCAAUGCAGGAAAUCCAGGUUGAUCCCUGGGUUGGGAA